rfam:Oscillibacter sp. CAG:241 genomic scaffold, scf132
GCUGCUGUAGCUCAGUCGGUAGAGCGCAUCCUUGGUAAGGAUGAGGUCGGCGGUUCGAAUCCGCCCAGCAGCU